rnacentral:rRNA from 1 species
UGGGGAAUUUUGGACAAUGGGCGAAAGCCUGAUCCAGCAAUGCCGCGUGUGUGAAGAAGGCCUUCGGGUUGUAAAGCACUUUUGUCCGGAAAGAAAUCCUUGGCUCUAAUACAGUCGGGGGAUGACGGUACCGGAAGAAUAAGCACCGGCUAACUACGUGCCAGCAGCCGCGGUAACACGUAGGGUGCAAGCGUUAAUCGGAAUUACUGGGCGUAAAGCGUGCGCAGGCGGUUUGCUAAGACCGAUGUGAAAUCCCCGGGCUCAACCUGGGAACUGCAUUGGUGACUGGCAGGCUAGAGUAUAGCAGAGGGGGGUAGAAUUCCACGUGUAGCAGUGAAAUGCGUAGAGAUGUGGAGGAAUACCGAUGGCGAAGGCAGCCCCCUGGGCCAAUACUGACGCUCAUGCACGAAAGCGUGGGGAGCAAACAGGAUUAGAUACCCUGGUAGUCCACGCCCUAAACGAUGUCAACUAGUUGUUGGGGAUUCAUUUCCUUAGUAACGUAGCUAACGCGUGAAGUUGACCGCCUGGGGAGUACGGUCGCAAGAUUAAAACUUAAAUGAAUUGACGGGGUCAUAGCUGUUUCCU